AGUGAACGCUGGCGGUAGGCCUAACACAUGCAAGUCGAACGGCAGCACAGGAGAGCUUGCUCUCUGGGUGGCGAGUGGCAGACGGGUGAGGAAUACAUCGGAAUCUACUCUGUCGUGGGGGAUAACGUAGGGAAACUUACGCUAAUACCGCAUACGACCUACGGGUGAAAGCAGGGGAUCUUCGGACCUUGCGCGAUUGAAUGAGCCGAUGUCGGAUUAGCUAGUUGGCGGGGUAAAGGCCCACCAAGGCGACGAUCCGUAGCUGGUCUGAGAGGAUGAUCAGCCACACUGGAACUGAGACACGGUCCAGACUCCUACGGGAGGCAGCAGUGGUGAAUAUUGGACAAUGGGCGCAAGCCUGAUCCAGCCAUACCGCGUGGGUGAAGAAGGCCUUCGGGUUGUAAAGCCCUUUUGUUGGGAAAGAAAUCCAGCUGGCUAAUACCCGGUUGGGAUGACGGUACCCAAAGAAUAAGCACCGGCUAACUUCGUGCCAGCCGCCGCGGUAA
rnacentral:rRNA from 1 species